UCAAGAAAUUGUGCGAUUGGUUGGUAU
rnacentral:sRNA from 1 species